AUCGCCUUUGACGGCAGAACACGCUGGUUACGAGCUGGGAGCGAGCUCAUUAAGAGCACGCGCAUUUUUAGCGGUCCGGGGCUGUAGGAGAAACACAACUUAACUCACACAGACUGAUGCGACAAAACCAUACCCAUGAUAUAACAUUGUCCAGACAUGCCUGGUAAGGACAUGAGGAGGAAACAGUAGGAGCUGUGUGAGGCUACUAAAGGCAGUGGAUCCCUCAGCAGCUGGAUAACAAACAGCACAGUCUCAGAUCAGCACAGCCCUGCCCUCCAGCACUAUCAGCAGCAGGAGCAGCAGAAACCAGCAACAUUGUACCCAUCAGGACGAACGAGAAAGCACAUUUUCCACCGAGAGGAGCAGCAUCUGAACCACCAUGCUGAUAAUGAAGACUCCAGCCUGUCCAGAAAUAUCCACGGUUUAAUAUUUAUUCAACUGUAGAAUUUUCUGAGUUUACUAAAAUAAAGUCAGAGUAACAUCUGA
ensembl:lncRNA